rnacentral:lncRNA from 1 species
CAUAAUCCUAGUAAAAAUCUAGCUACUCAUAGUGGGUGUAGAAGAAAAUAAAGAAGAAAAAAUAAUUAAACUCAUAUUCAAAGAUUAAAAUAAAUAAUCUAAUAUUACAACACCAAAAUAAGAGAAAGGUUCCUAAAACAGCAAAUUAAAACGGCUACAGUUCUUCAGAUAUUCAAAACAUGACCUAAUUUCGUGAAACUCUCCUAUUUAUACAAGGCUGAAAAUAUCAAACAAAAAUGCCCCUCAGGAGGUUCUGCGGCCGCACAAUUCCAUGUGUGGUCCGAAGAUUUCUUCAUCUUGUCAGGAACUAGAGGUAUGCGGCCGCACAUUUCUAAACUGCGGCUACGAGGCAACUCUUCUACUGUCCGCAUAAUUCUUGUACGGUCCACAAUUCUCAGAGGCUCCUUGACUUGGUCUUUUUGCACACUCUCUGAUCUUCAACUUCUAGCUCAGCUGUGUGGCCACACAACUAAUAUGGGUCUGCAAUUUGCGCAAUUGGCUGUGAUUACGAUCAAAUCCACUACUAAAAAGUAAAUGGACAUGGUCGCAUAAAAUAUAAUUUAUCCAACUAUGAGUCGGGGUUGAAUCCCACAUAGAACAAUAUGUAGGCCUCCAAAAUAUAUACAUAGUUCUUCGGGGCAUACCCAAGAUAAUAAUAUAUAUACAAAUUCUUUGGGGCAUUCCCCGAAUAAAUUCAACUACGGGAACGACCUCUCACCUCAAGACUAACUAAAUCCUAUAGCUUACCUACCUAAGUGUGGUCGGCCUACGCAUACUACUAGCGGAUAAUAGAAUAAAAUAAAGCAACAAAUGUAGUACUAAAAUCUCAAUUAUGUUACUUUUAACUUCCCACCCUAGAUCCCAUAUCCAUUUCACUAUUCUUGGAUAACAUUUCUUUUCCAGAGUUUAUCAAUCCAUUGCCCAUUAAUCCAACUUAAAUCAAUAGUUCAUGAAUCGAUUCACUUAUCAUAGAUUAUGCUCUAUUCACAUUAGUUAAUUAAGAUGAGUAAUUUGAUUGAACUUAAAUCAACCGAGAACAUUGAGCCAUCAGCAUGCAAUUAGCAUAGCACAUGUAAAAUAAUAGCGCACAUAAUAAAGAGAAGGAAACGAGAGGGACCUCAAAAGGAGUUAUGAAAUUUUCUUCGACACUUGAAAAUCGUACAAAACCUUUAACCCAAAAUUGAGCAAAUUGCAGCACGAACAAGAUGAAAAUAGCAAUAAGAACUCGGACAGUAAUCUCGAUGUACGACUGAACGAGACCUCAAAUCGGACUUCGAACCACCUCAAACAAAUUUCAUUUUUAGAAAGCAAAGUAUAGAAUAUGUCCGUUGUUGUCCAGUUUUUGGAGAGGAUGAAGUCUUAGGGUGGGCUUAGAGGUUUAAGG